rnacentral:rRNA from 1 species
UACGUAGGGGGCAAGCGUUGUCCGGAAUCAUUGAGCGUAAAGAGUGUGUAGGCGGCCAGAAAAGUCCGCUGUGAAAACUCGAGGCUCAACUUCGAGCUGUCGGUGGAAACUUUCUGGCUAGAGUCCGGAAGAGGAGAAUGGAAUUCCUGGUGUAGCGGUGAAAUGCGCAGAUAUCAGGAAGAACACCCGUGGCGAAGGCGGUUCUCUGGGACGGUACUGACGCUGAGACGCGAAAGCGUGGGGAGCGAACAGG